rnacentral:rRNA from 1 species
UGCGUAGGCGGGCUAAUAAGUCAGUGGUGAAAUCUCUCGGCUCAACCGGGAAACUGCCAUUGAUACUGUUAGUCUUGAGUUCGGUUGAGGUAGGCGGAAUGUGUAAUGUAGCGGUGAAAUGCUUAGAUAUUACACAGAACACCAAUUGCGUAGGCAGCUUACUAGACCGACACUGACGCUGAGGCACGAAAGCGUGGGGAGCGAACAGGAUUGGAUACCCUGGUAGUCC